GCACCUGUAGCUCAGGGGAUUAGAGCAUUUGCCUCCGAAGCAAAGGGUCGCAGGUUCGAAUCCUGCCAGGUGCGCAA
rnacentral:tRNA from 1 species